rnacentral:rRNA from 1 species
CGCGGCCUAUCAGCUUGUUGGUGAGGUAAAGGCUCACCAAGGCAUUGACGGGUAGCUGGUCUGAGAGGACGAUCAGCCACACUGGGACUGAGACACGGCCCAGACUCCUGCGGGAGGCAGCAGUGGGGAAUCUUGCGCAAUGGGCGAAAGCCUGACGCAGCAACGCCGCGUGGGGGAUGAAGGCUCUCGGGUUGUAAACCCCUUCCAGCAGGGACGAAAUUGACGGUACCUGUAGAAGAAGCCCCGGCCAACUACGUGCCAGCAGCCGCGGUAACACGUAGGGGGCAAGCGUUGUCCGGAAUUAUUGGGCGUAAAGGGCUCGUAGGCGGUUCGGUAAGUCAGAUGUGAAAGGUUGGGGCUCAACCCUAAGACUGCAUUUGAUACUGCCGUGACUGGAGUCCGGUAGAGGAGUGUGGAAUUCCUGGUGUAGCGGUGAAAUGCGCAGAUAUCAGGAGGAACACCGACGGCGAAGGCAGCACUCUGGGCCGGUACUGACGCUGAGGAGCGAAAGCGUGGGUAGCAAACAGGAUUAGAUACCCUGGUAGUCCACGCCGUAAACGUUGGGCACUAGGUGUGGGGCCUUAUCAACGGGUUCCGUGCCGUAGCUAACGCAUUAAGUGCCCCGCCUGGGGAGUACGG